rnacentral:ncRNA from 1 species
GUCGUUGUUGUAUCUGCGGCCAGAGUUGGAAAGUUCUUUCGGGUUCUUUUUUAAUUUUGGUCGUAGUUGACUCGAUUCGCUCCACCCAGUCAAUCGUUCGGGGUGCCCUUCACCGGGUGUCUCGGGCGGCCGGCAACGUUUACUUUGAACAAAUUAGAGUGCUCAAAGCAGGUGUAUCCCAACGCCUGAAUAUCGCAGCAUGGAAUGAUGGAAUAGGACCUCGGUCCGAUUUUGCUGGUCUUUUACUUUUGGACCCGAGGUAAUGGUCAAUAGAGACGGACGGGGGCAUUCGUACUGCGGCGACAGAGGUGAAAUUCUUGGACCGCCGCAAGACGAACAACAGCGAAGGCAUUUGCCAAGAAUGUUUUCCUUGAUCAAGAACGAAAGUUAGAGGUUCGAAGGCGAUCAGAUACCGCCCUAGUUCUAACCAUAAACGAUGCCAACCAGCAAUCCGUCGGAGUUACUCCAAUGACUCGACGGGCAGCUUCCGGGAAACCAAAGUCUUUGGGUUCCGGGGGAAGUAUGGUUGCAAAGCUGAAACUUAAAGGAAUUGACGGAAGGGCACCACCAGGAGUGGAGCCUGCGGCUUAAUUUGACUCAACACGGGAAACCUCACCAGGCCCGGACACUGGAAGGAUUGACAGAUUGAGAGCUCUUUCUUGAUUCGGUGGGUGGUGGUGCAUGNCCGUUCUUAGUUGGUGGAGCGAUUUGUCUGGUUAAUUCCGAUAACGAACGAGACUCUAGCCUGCUAAAUAGGUGACGGGUUUUAUCAAUUGAAACCGAAGGGAGUACGGAGGCGUCGGGAUCAGGUGGCGGCGAUUCGGGUCUCGGUGGGACUGGUUCCUUUAGUGAGGCAAUCUCUCGGCUUGGUUUCGUUGUGCUUUGUUCGUCGGGUGUACGGCCUUCACGGGUUGGUUGCCUGGCGGAUGAGGUAUGGCGGGGCUUUGUCGGGAAUGUCUCGCGGGGGCUGGCUCUAUUGUUAUUCGGUCGUCGUCAUCCCCGGCGAUACCUUCUGCUCUCGCGUCCGUCACGCAGUCUUCUUAGAGGGACAAGCGGCGUCCAGCCGCGUGACAGUGAGCAAUAACAGGUCUGUGAUGCCCUUAGAUGUCCUGGGCCGCACGCGCGCUACACUGAAGGAAUCAGCGUGUUUCACUCUCCCUGUCCGAAAGGACCGGGUAACCGCUGAACCUCCUUCGUGGUUGGGAUUGGGGACUGCAAUGAUCCCCAUGAACCAGGAAUCCCUAGUAGGCGCGGGUCACUAGCCCGCGUCGAUUACGUCCCUGCCCUUUGUACACACCGCCCGUCGCUACUACCGAUUGAAUGAUUUAGUGAGGCCUUCGGACGGGCUUGUCGGGGUGCCGUCGAGUGGGGAGCAAUCUCUGCCCGUGCGGUGCCUACCAACGGCGAGACUGAAAGAUGGUCGAACUUGAUCCUUUAGAGGAAGUAAAAGUCGU